AAGAAGGCAUCCUCGUCCUGUUUGCAGCUAUGUCAAGAGAUCCCACACAUAGAAGUUUUCUGUGCCCCACGUAUGAGCUCUUUCCCUUAUGCAAGCAAGCCAAGACAGGACUGGCGUGAGUGGGAUGGAGGUUUUGGGACCACACCUAGCUCACAGAAACUUGAUUUGGAGCCAGCUGUGGUGUACGCCAAUAAAACCUGCAAUCAGUGACAGCUUUCAUCCCAAAUGUGUCCGGGCUGACUUCCCUUUCAAAAUAAUGGAGGAUGAGACUGCAAGCAGGUGUGAGUUAGACCCAGCUGGCUCCUUGGAAAUGCAUGUGUAUGGGCAAAGCCAGCAUGUAUGCUAGGGUGGCUGAUGCUGCACCUCCCGCUUCGGCUUAUCUUGAACUUUGCCACAGGAGACCCAUUAGGGUUGCAUCUUUACAUCCAAGUCUGGUUUCACAGAGUCACAGAAUCAUAGGGGUUGGAAAAUCACUGGCAAAGCAAGGAUGACCCAUGAAAGAUGUCUUGUUUUGCAUUGGUAAAGGCAUACGUUAUAAUUAAAGCAUGUGUAUGUGCAUAAGAAAUAUACAUGCUGAAAAAGGCCAAUUUAAGGAUGCACGUGUAAUGAUUCUUUAUGUACCUAAUUUGCAAGUAUUUGACUUCUCAAUUUUAAUUUCUGCAUUCUGUAAAAAUGAAAAAUGGUCUUCUUGUGUACGUGAUACAAGAAUAUGUAUAUUUCUUGUUCUGGUCUUCAGACCUUCCUGCCUAUCCCCAAGAAUAAAGUCUUCAUGUC
ensembl:lncRNA